rnacentral:rRNA from 1 species
AUGUUGGGAUGGUCAAAACCAUUCGCCAAGUUCUUGGGUUGUAUGCCACGGCUACCCAAGAUGGAUUUAAUCCCGAGUCUCACUUUAGCCAAAGGCUCUAAGUGCCAUGCAUAUGUGCAAGCUAAGCAAACUUGUAAGCCUCACAAGCCUACAAAGGAGAGACACCUGGCACCACUAGAGCACGUAUGUUCAGAUAUGUGCAAGAUGAAUGGUGUCUUGACUAAAGGUGGAAAGAAAUAUUUUGUGACAUUGAAUGAUGAUUCCUCUAGAUUGUGCUAUGUGUAUUUCUUAAAUACUAAGGAUGAGGCUCUACACUACUUCAAAAUCUAUAAGGCAGAAGUUGGAAGUGGUAGUGCCACCAGUGAUGCGGAACAUUUAUCUGCCAAUGUUUGA